rnacentral:lncRNA from 1 species
GAAUUCGAGUUUUUUGCCUAACCCUAAAUAGUAAUAUAAAAAACAAAUAGCAUCAUAUAAAAAAAUACACUCUCGCGGGCGCAUGAGGCAAAAUCUAGUUUGAAUUAUAAUCGUUGCCAUAAAAUGAAACUGCCUUUGCCGUGUGCUUCUUUCAUGAGUGUAUGAACAAAAAUAAAAUAAAAAACAAUCACAACAUCAUUGCGGAAUUUGAAUUCUCAAAAUUAAAAUAUUUUUUUAUUUUUAUAAUUUUUCUUUUAUUGUUGCUCAAAUUUUCUUAUAUUUUACUUAGCUAUUGUUUAUUAUUAUUUUUUCUUUGUUUUAAUGUAAGUAUGACCUUUUAAGAUUAUUAAAAUUCUACGUUUUAGUCACAUAAAUUAAAUAAAAAAAAUCUGACUACAUUUAACCCUUAUUUGAAGGUGGUGUCUUAAGUGUUGACAGAAACACACACAAAGACACUAACAAGAGCUCUCAAGACUAAAACUCAGGUAGAUAAAUGUUUAAAAGUCAAACGAAACGUACCAACAGAAAACUCGUACUUAAAUGUUGAUGUCUCUUUCUCCCAAUGUUUCCAUCCACGAAUAUGAAAACACACACC